AGCCACUUAGCUUCGGAGGGUGCCCCGGAAGUGAAUUCGCAAUUGAUUGACACGUAGUUCCUUCAAAUCAGACCCUGGAAGCCUUGGCAGCAGCAGGAAGUCCCGGCUGUUUUAAAGUUGCGGUUCCGGUGUUGAGAAUGCCAAGGAUGAUGGGAAGCCUGAACUUGUUUAUCAGUUUGUACGAAACUCCACCCACAGUUCAGUUGGCCUGAGUGUUUCAUUCCGGCGCCGGUGCGAAGUGGCUCCCUUUACUGGAAAACAUCUGAACCCAUGCGGUGCCAGAGACCCUGGAUACCUGAGACAUGUCAACUUCUCAGGUUUGGAAUGGACAAUGAUGAGAAGUAAAAACAAAAAGAUCUGCAGAAAGAAGCCAUGGUAAGAUUUAAGGCUUCACAGUCCAAAUGCCUGUGGACACUUGACCAAGUGAUCUGAGAAAAUUGGAUUCCUGGCAAAACAAGUGUAACUAGACUCAGGCAAGCAGAGUGGAGCACAGAGGACAACUAGAUUAAAUGGAAAGAAUGCCCAGGCAUCCCAGUGCCCCCAUUGAUGUUCCAGAACUUCAUUAAUACAGUGACAAACUACAUAUGUACACCUGGAAGAGAGUUCAGGAUCAAGCUCAGAAGUGCCCAGCUGCCAGCAAGUACUCUACUACUGAACUGCACCCUCUCUCCAGCCCAUGCUUACUCUUGAAUAGCCACAAAAAUAUUCAAUGGUAUGGCAAAAUAAACCUCCAUUUUAUUUAGACACUUAAGGCAUUUUUUGUGCCACUUAAAUUAUUUUAUAUAGUUGAGUAUGAUUUUUUCCUAAGGAAUUCUGUGUAUUUCAAGUAAGUCUUCAACCUUUAAUAAAAAGUUUAAUGUUGAAACAGUUGUGGA